rfam:Methanolobus psychrophilus R15, complete genome.
GCCAAGGUGGCGGAGCGGCUACGCAAUCGCCUGCAGAGCGAUUCCAUUCCGGUUCGAAUCCGGACCUUGGCU